rnacentral:rRNA from 1 species
ACGUAGGGUGCGAGCGUUAAUCGGAAUUACUGGGCGUAAAGGGCGCGUAGGCGGCCUGUUAAGUCGGACGUGAAAUCCCUCGGCUCAACCGGGGAACUGCGUCCGAUACUGGCGGGCUUGAAUUCGGGAGAGGGAUGUGGAAUUCCAGGUGUAGCGGUGAAAUGCGUAGAUAUCUGGAGGAACACCGGUGGCGAAGGCGGCAUCCUGGACCGACAUUGACGCUGAGGCGCGAAAGCCAGGGGAGCAAACGGGA